CUCAGAUUUUCUUUUAGCUACUCUGUUUCUUUUGUAGAAGAAGCAGACAUUUCUGGUGCUUCUGGUUCCAAGGAGAUUUUCUAGGGUUUGUGAUUUCUGAUCUUUGUUUCCAGAGCAACCCGAGCUUGAAGAUGGUUUUGACGAUGAGAUUAAGGAAAUCGUUGUGAAGUUUAAUUUCAGGUAACCUGUUGCUUCUGAGCUAAGACUCUUUUCUUUUGGCUCUUGUGUUGAAGAUGGCUUAAAAAAUCGAGUGUUGACCCUCUAAGCAUGAACACAGUCUCAGGCUUAUGAUGUUUGUAUCUGAGUGGAAUUUGGAUUUGUUUGCAAG
rnacentral:lncRNA from 1 species